rnacentral:rRNA from 1 species
UGCGGAGGGGGCGAGCGUUGCCCGAAUUUACUGGGUGUAAAGCGUGCGUAGGCGGCUCCAUAAGUCUGGUGUGAAAUGUCGCGGCUCAACGGCGGAGCUGCACCAGAUACUGCGGGGCUUGAGGCCGGGUGAGGUGAGUGGAAUUCGCGGUGUAGCGGUGAAAUGCGUUGAUAUGGGGUAGAACACCGGUGGCGAAGGCGGAUCGCUAGCCUGUUGUUGACGCUGAGGCGCGAAAGCGGGGGGAGCGAAAGGG